AGGGGAUGAUAUCUUUUGCUCCAAAAAGUACUUGAGGCUUUUAUGGUCAGUUUUAACUUGAAAUCGCCGGCCGAUCAGGUAGGGUCUCCACCUCGUUACUGCGUGUACAAUGGCAAGCAUCUCCUUAUCAUAUACUGACAUAUUUUGAUGGGAGGGAGAUAAUGCCUUGCUAGUGUAUGCGAGUGGUCGACCAUUUUGCAUGAGAACGGCUCCAAUUCCGACUCCAGAUGCGUCGGCCUCAAUGAUGAAGGGUUUAUUGAAAUCUGGUAGCGCAAGCACCGGCGUUGUUGUCAUGGCUGCUUUAAGUUUGUCGAAGGCAGCAGAGGCUUUGUCUGACCAUUGGAAAGCAUCUUUUUUCAGUAAAGAAGUGAGUGGUGCACUGAUCUUCCCAUAGUCCUUAACAAAUUUUCGGUAGUAGCCCGUUAGUCCAAGGAACCCCCGCAGUAAUUUCACGUUUGUAGGUUUCGGCCNNNNNNNNNNNNNNNNNNNNCCAUCUGCAACAACGUUUUCUUUCCCCUUUUUGUAAAUAAUUUCAUAAUCAAAUCCAAGAAGUUUGGUUACCCAUUUUUGCUACUCAGGGGAUGAUAUCUUUUGCUCCAAAAAGUACUUGAGGCUUUUAUGGUCAGUUUUAAUUUGAAAUCACCGGCCGAUCAAGUAGGGUCUCCACCUCGUUACUGCGUAUAUAAUGGCAAGCAUCUCCUUAUCAUAUACUGACAUGUUUUGAUGGGAGGGAGAUAAUGCCUUGCUAGUAUAUGCGAGUGGUCAACCAUUUUGCAUGAGAACAACUCCAAUUCUGACUCCAGAUGCGUCGGCCUCAAUAAUGAAGGGUCUAUUGAAAUCUGGUAGUGCAAGCACCGGCGUCGUUGUCAUGGCUGCUUUAAGUUUGUCGAAGGCAGCAGAGGCUUUGUCCGACCAUUGGAAAGCAUCUUUUUUUAGUAAAGAAGUGAGUGGUGCACUGAUCUUCCCAUAGUCCUUAACAAAUUUUCGGUAGUAGCCCGUUAGUCCAAGGAACCCCCGCAGUAAUUUCACGUUUGUAGGUUUCGGCCAGCCUUGCAUUGCCUCAAUUUUUGUUGGGUCUACCGCCACUCCUUCUUCUGAUAUUAUAUGCCCAAGGUACUCUACUUUUUGCUGGAGAAAGCUGCACUUUGGUUGCUUAACAAAAAGAGUAUUCUCCUGAAGGAUCGUCAAAACAAUCCGUAAAUGCUGAAAGUGAGUCUCAAGAGAAGGGCUGUAAACGAGAAUAUCAUCGAAAAAUACCAGCACAAAUUUAC
rnacentral:lncRNA from 1 species